UCUGGUAAGUCAGAGGUGAAAGUCGGUUGCUUAACGAUCGAAUUGCCUUUGAAACUGUCAGACUUGAGUAUGGAUGCGGUAGNCGGAAUGUGUAGUGUANCGGUGAAAUGCAUAGAUAUUACACAGAACACCGAUUGCGAAAGCAGCUUACCAAACCAGCACUGACGCUGAAGCACGAAAGCGUGGGUAGCGAACAGGAUUAGAUACCCUGGUAGUCCACGCAGUAAACGAUGCUCACUCGCUGUUGGCAAUAGUUCGUCAGCGGCUAAGGGAAACCGAUAAGUGAGCCACCUGGGGAGUACGAUCGCAAGAUUGAAACUCAAAGGAAUUGACGGGGGCCCGCACAAGCGGUGGAACAUGUGGUUUAAUUCGAUGAUACGCGAGGAACCUUACCUGGGCUUAAAUGUACGAUGCAUAAGUGUGAAAGCACUUUUUCCUUCGGGACUUUGUACAAGGUGCUGCAUGGUUGUCGUCAGCUCGUGCCGUGAGGUGUCGGGUUAAGUCCCAUAACGAGCGCAACCCCUAUUGUUAGUUACCAGCGCGUAAAGGCGGGGACUCUAGCGAAACUGCCGGUGUAAACCGCGAGGAAGGUGGGGAUGACGUCAAAUCAGCACGGCCCUUAUGUCCAGGGCUACACACGUGUUACAAUGGCCGGUACAGCGGGCAGCGAGGCAGCGAUGCCGAGCGAAUCUCGAAAGCCGGUCCCAGUUCGGAUUGGAGUCUGCAACCCGACUCCAUGAAGGUGGAAUCGCUAGUAAUCGCGCAUCAGCCAUGGCGCGGUGAAUACGUUCCCGGGCCUUGUACACACCGCCCGUCAAGCCAUGGAAGUCUGGGGUGCCUGAAGGCCGUAACCGCGAGGAGC
rnacentral:rRNA from 1 species